rnacentral:misc_RNA from 1 species
GAUGAAGAACGUAGCGAAAUGCGAUACUCGGUGUGAAUUGCAGAAUCCCGUGAACCAUCGAGUCUUUGAACGCAAGUUGCGCCCGAAGCCACUAGGCCGAGGGCACGCCUGCCUGGGCGUCACACGUCGUUGCCCCCCCCCCAUCUACUCCUUCGGGAUUGCGGGGGGCGGAUGAUGGCCCCCCGUGCGCCUAGCCGCGCGGUUGGCAUAAAUACCAAGUCCUCGGCGACGCACGCCACGACAAUCGGUGGUUGCGAAACCUCGGUUGCCCGUCGUGUGCGUUCGUCGCGCAUCGAGGGCUCGAAAAAAUGCUCGGCUCCGGCUCGGCUUUCAACGCGACCCCAGGUCAGGCGGGGUUACCCGCUGAAUUUAAGCAUAUCAAUAAGCGGAGGA